UUUGAUCCUGGCUCAGGACGAACGCUGGCGGCGUGCCUAAUACAUGCAAGUCGAGCGGACAGAUGGGAGCUUGCUCCCUGAUGUUAGCGGCGGACGGGUGAGUAACACGUGGGUAACCUGCCUGUAAGACUGUGUUAACUCCGGGAAACCGGGGCUAAUACCGGAUGUUGUUUGAACCGCAUGGUUCAAACAUAAAAGGUGGCUUCGCCUACCACUUACAGAUGGACCCGCGGCGCAUUAGCUAGUUGUGGAGGUAACGGCUCACCAAGGCAACGAUGCGUAGCCGACCUGAGAGGGUGAUCGGCCACACUGGGACUGAGACACGGCCCAGACUCCUACGGGAGGCAGCAGUAGGGAAUCUUCCGCAAUGGACGAAAGUCUGACGGAGCAACGCCGCGUGAGUGAUGAAGGUUUUCGGAUCGUAAAGCUCUGUUGUUAGGGAAGAACAAGUACCGUUCGAAUAGGGCGGUACCUUGACGGUACCUAACCAGAAAGCCACGGCUAACUACGUGCCAGCAGCCGCGGUAAUACGUAGGUGGCAAGCGUUGUCCGGAAUUAUUGGGCGUAAAGGGCUCGCAGGCGGUUUCUUAAGUCUGAUGUGAAAGCCCCCGGCUCAACCGGGGAGGGUCAUUGGAAACUGGGGAACUUGAGUGCAGAAGAGGAGAGUGGAAUUCCACGUGUAGCGGUGAAAUGCGUAGAGAUGUGGAGGAACACCAGUGGCGAAGGCGACUCUCUGGUCUGUAACUGACGCUGAGGAGCGAAAGCGUGGGGAGCGAACAGGAUUAGAUACCCUGGUAGUCCACGCCGUAAACGAUGAGUGCUAAGUGUUAGGGGGUUUCCGCCCCUUAGUGCUGCAGCUAACGCAUUAAGCACUCCGCCUGGGGAGUACGGUCGCAAGACUGAAACUCAAAGGAAUUGACGGGGGCCCGCACAAGCGGUGGAGCAUGUGGUUUAAUUCGAAGCAACGCGAAGAACCUUACCAGGUCUUGACAUCCUCUGACAAUCCUAGAGAUAGGACGUCCCCUUCGGGGGCAGAGUGACAGGUGGUGCAUGGUUGUCGUCAGCUCGUGUCGUGAGAUGUUGGGUUAAGUCCCGCAACGAGCGCAACCCUUGAUCUUAGUGCCAGCAUUCAGUUGGGCACUUUAAGGUGACUGCCGGUGACAAACCGGAGGAAGGUGGGGAUGACGUCAAAUCAUCAUGCCCCUUAUGACCU
rnacentral:rRNA from 1 species